rnacentral:misc_RNA from 1 species
AACAGACUGCAAGUGGAGCUGGAUUUAGGCAAAAAUUUGUUGGGCACUUGUUUUUUUUUUCUUAAUAAUAAAUAUAUUUAAUCCACUUAAUUUUUAUAAAAUUUGAAAUUCAUAAAAAAAAUCCUCAAAAUGGAGGGCAAUAAUUUGUGAUCUGUUUGGACUUUUUACAAUUUGUUGUAGGUAAAUUGAAAGUUGAACAAUGAGAUGGAUAAAUUAAAAAAACAUUUUUUUUUAAUACCAAAACGUUAUUUUUCAUACUCACAAUUUUUUUUUUAAUAAAUCUAAUGGUGACAUCUAGUUUUCAUGUGAGGCUUAUUUUUAUUUUUAGUCUAAUAAUUUGAAAGUUUUUAUUUCAGUCUUUCAAAAAUUCAGCUUUGUGGGAUUGAAUAACUUUUUAAGAUUAUUACGAGAAAAUAUGAUAACCCAAGUAAAAUAUGAUGACUCAAAUUAAAGAAUUACGUUAAACAAAUAUAAGAAUUUUUUGUUUAGUCAUACUUCAAUGUCUACUUGCUUCUCAUUCAAAUGAUUUACUUCAAAUAAACUAGUGCCUUAUUUUAGUUUUUGUUUCUCAUUGAACUUGAUGAGCAUAAAAAUCAUAAUAAUAUUUUUAAAGUUAUUUAUUUAUUAUAGGUAGCAUGGAUUUUGAUUUAAAUGAAAGUCAAGAUACUCUUUUUGAUGGGAUGACUAAUUGGGAAGAUCAUAAUAAAGAAAUACAAGAUAUUGAGAAUGAUAAAUUUGCUAUUAUAGAUUUAUAUAUAGGAAUGGAAUUCAAUUCACAUAUUGAGGCAUAUUCUUAAUUUCUUAUUACUAGGGAUGAGCAUUUGGUUAACCGAACCGAAUUGAACUGAAUUAUUAACCGACUCUAAAAAUAUUAACGGAAUUGAAUCGAAAUUGAGAGAAAACUGAAAUUAAUCAAAACUGAAAAUAUUCAGUCGGUUAUUAGUUAUAACCAAAC